rnacentral:rRNA from 1 species
CAGUCGCCGCGGUAAUACGUAGGGUGCAAGCGUUAAUCGGAAUUACUGGGCGUAAAGCGUGCGCAGGCGGUUAUAUAAGUCAGAUGUGAAAUCCCCGGGCUCAACCUGGGAACUGCAUUUGAGACUGUAUGGCUAGAGUGUGUCAGAGGGGGGUAGAAUUCCACGUGUAGCAGUGAAAUGCGUAGAUAUGUGGAGGAAUACCGACGGCGAAGGCAGCCCCCUGGGCCAAUACUGACGCCCAUGCACGAAAGCGUGGGGAGCAAACAGGAUUAGAUACCCCCGUAGUCCCUGUCUCUUAUAC